CCAAAAACCCAAAAGUGAGGAGAUCACAUCUUCCUGCAGCCACUGCUGAAGGCAAAUCACUGCACACACAACAGCAAUCAACAGGGGAUUUGUUCUGUCCCCCACGAAUCAGCAGGAUGGAGGGAGGGCUCUGCUGCUCCUUCAAGAGCAAGAUAAAACCACCCCGUGAAGAAACUGCAAUUCCUCCUCCCUUUGCUCUGACAGGAAUCCAAAAUGACAGCACUGUUCUAGAAGCUUUUCUCCAAGGCACACUUUACAGUGAGCAACAAUUUCUUGUUUAAUAAUUAAAACCAUUUCCUGGCUAAUCAGAGCAGUCCUCUGGUAUCUGAAAAAAUAAUUUAUUCAUCAAUGAGAGCACGUGGACAAAGUUAAAUCAUCUCUCCAAAGCUUCUCCAAGCCAACCAAAAUCUAAAAUCUCCUGAUGUGAGGAAAUGUCCUUCCCCUACACCUUUCCCAUAGGUGAGAGUACCUACAGACUGGAGUAAAUAUCAAGACAAAAAAAAUGCAAAGAAGGAAGAGACUAAAUAAAAAAUAUCAGAAUAUAUUUUAUACAUUAGAAAAGAUUUUACAGGAGUAGAGCUUCUGCCAGCCAUCCCUGCAAAACUCCUGAGGUUCUGUUGAGAGAAAAACAGGUCCAGCUCUGGUUUGGAAAGAGGGAUAAUUUGUGACACAACACUAAAAACAGGUAGUAAAUGUGUAAUGUUUUAUUGGCAAUGAUCUCAUUUGAAUGUUUGCCUAAUGAGGGGGAUUAACUGGGUUAAUGGCAGGGACUGCCCCAUCCCAACCCCAGGCACACACCUGGGAUCUCAAUUCUGCUGCCCAGCACGGAGGAAGGAUGGAAAUUUGGGAAAACAGGCAGCUGGUGGAAACCUCAGUCCUUGUGCUUGCUGAUUCAUGCAAGGAGGGAAGAGAAAAGGAACAAAAAUGUGCCAGAAUGGUGCAAACAAAAGGCACCAUCUGGCUCUGAGGAGAUGUGGGCUCAUCCCAACAGCACCAGGACAGAACCCAGAGCCAGCCAGGCCUGGGGGACUGAGAGCAAAACCCAGCCUGGCCUGGUUUGGAUCCACAUUGCUGAGGGUUCAAACCACAAACACUGCUCCCAACAGCUGCUCUGCUCUGCCCAAAACACAGGGAGACCCCAACAAGGAGACAGCAACACUGGCAGGGAAAAAAUGAGAGUUUGGAAAGUAAACUCAAAUACUGAAUGAGUGGUGAAUCAAACCUGGAGGGAGGAACUCACAGAGCAACUCAAGAUUUGGUCAAGUUGAGGCUGUCUGCAAAACAAAGUCAGGGCAGCUGUGACAUUAAACCAAAGCCAGGUGUGACAGCUCUUCUGCAGAGAACACUGCUCUAUACAUGGCAAUUUUACUGUAUUUCUUUCUUUUUUUUAAUUAAGAUUUCAUCAUAGUUCUGUUAUUUUAAAUCAUAAACCUAUGCAGUUAAUUCUGUGUUUUUUUUCUCAGAUAACUCUUUUUUCAUUACUUCACCCAAAUCAAUCCAAAACACUGAUUACUGAGCAAGGCAAGAAUCUCCAGCAGCUCCCUGACAUCAGGAUGAGACAGGCAAGACUCAUGUAUGAAUAUUAAUUCAGAAGUACAGUGAGAAACAGCCCUGUGAGAAUUGUUAUUUGAACAGACUGGGUAGAACUAUUUACUGUGCAAUUAUUAGAAAGCAUCAAAAUCAGAAAAAGAACACUCCAAACUUGACAGGUACAGGAAUGUGAUUAUCAGUGUAACAGCCAAACUGCUCUGCUUCAGGAAAAAGGGAAUUUCUUCACUUACCUCCUUGGAAAGGUGACAGAUUCCUAUUCCUAAAUUGUCUGAUAUGAAUGGAGAUAUGCAAAUCUAAGUUAUUUAUUACAAUCAGCUUAUCCUUAUCAUAGUAUUAACAGCAAUAAAAUUAUAAGUAAUUUCAUUGCAAUACUCAUUAGCAAACUAUUAGAUCACUCCCUCCCUCAUAGAUUUCAGAUUAAACAGCACAAAUAAAUGAUCCCAAAGAACUAAAGCCUCUGGGAUCAGACCUUCCACUAAGUCCUUUCUUCUGAGCAUUACCACCUGCUUAUCAUUUAAAUACUGACAGGGAAAUGCUUAUAAACAAACUCCCCAACUUCACAGAAGGUUAAAAAUCAUCUGAAAAUAAAGCGAAGCAGUUCUGCCAUGGGGAGCUGCAGCUCUUCACGGGCACAGGCAGCACCGGGGAGUUUUCCUUGGCAGCUCAGAGCCUCAUCCCCCUGUCCAAGGAAUGGCAGGGCUGGCAAUCGCCACAGGAACACUUCAACCUGCUCUGAUGGGGAGCAAACAGGAAAAAAUCCUUUCCUGUGAGGGUGGGGAGGCCUGGCACUGUGGCUGUCCCUGGAUCCCCAGCAGUGCCCAAGGCCAGGCUGGACACUGGGACUGACAGGUGUCCCUGCCAUGGCAGGUGACACUGGGUGGCCUUUAACCCUUCCCACCUUCCAAACGCUGGGGCUGAUCCCGCAGAGCCCACGGAGCUCCCCUGGCGGGACAAACCCGGGGCGGGGGCCGGAGCCUUGGCUGCCGAUAUUCUUUAAUUCAAAAACCCCGAACGCUCCAUGUCCGCCCUGAGAGAGGAUGAAAACAACUUCCCCACCCGCACCCGCGGCACGGCCCGGCCCGGGGGCGGCUCCGGCGGGGCCGCGUCUCAGCUCACCUGCGGACGGCUCUGCCUGAGGGGCGGCGGGGACGCGCGGGAAACAGAGAGAGAUGCUGAGUGAUUUGUCCCCCUUUCCCCCAUGAGAACAGAGCCCAGCAGAUCUCAGUGCAGCGAGGGAAGUUUGUGCAUUUACCUGCUGAGAUUGCUGCUGUGGUGGACAGGAUGUAGCCAAUGCUGGAGAUCUGAGCUGAGUCAUAGA